GCAAGUAGUCUAAACAAACGGUAAUAAGAGUAUAUUUAAGAACAUUAAUGAGAAAACACGGAUAUUUUACACAUCAGCAGAAGAAUAACAAUAGUUCAAGAUGAGUAAUCAGGAGGCUCACGGUCCGGAGCGUCAACACCAUCCUCCUCGGCCGGACAAUCGAGGCAGCCAGAGGACCAAAGAGUGUCAUUUCUCCAGAAUUGAGCCUCUAUGGUGUGAUGUUUGGUCAGCCGUCUCUUGUACUAUGAAGAACUGCAAUGGAAGAAGAGACAGUGCUUGAUUCGGCAGGUGAACUGCACCUAUUUUAUGGUGGAGCAACUUUUUCAAGAGGAAAUUGUUGACAUUGGCCGUUUCUCAAUACCAAGUACGCAAAGUUCGGACUUGCGUCCUUCGUAGUUCGGACUUGCAAGUUCAGACUCGAAAGAACGAACUCCCAAGGACGGGAGUCCGGUUAUAUUGCAAAUGGAACAGAAGAGUACUUGAUUGCGUCACUCAGCACAUCAUGGCAACACGCUUACUUCCAUUAACUUAAUAUAUAUCCGUUUUUAUUUUAAAUGUUGAAAUUAUAGUAGUUUAAACACUUAC